rnacentral:misc_RNA from 1 species
GCUCAUCAUCAUCAAAAUCACUAUCAAACUCAUCCGCGACUUCUGGCUCUUCUUCAUAAUUAGUAUCAUUUUCUUCCUCUUUUAGAGCAUCCUGAUUCCAGAACAACUCGUCCUCUUCAAUUUCCUCAUCAAGCAACUUGUUCAUCCGUUUUCCUCUGGAUGCCCUAGAAAGUCGAUCCAGAAUCACAACUGGUGCCUCUUCUUUAGGGCUCUCCAUGGCAGCUACUUUCGCUCUUCUGAAACUGAAACGCCUAGCCGCUUCCUUAUCGUCUUCUCGGCGUCAGCAUUAUAAGCGUCUAAGACAGAAAGAAUCCGCAAGAAACCCUAA